UUGCAUCGGGUAAUGAAACAAUAUACAUGUAUGAUGUAGUCUCACAGAAGGUACUAACAGUUGGUCAUGACCUAGGCUAGAGGUCAAGUUUGGUAUGCAUAUUGCCAAGUCAGCAAGAGUACUCAGAUGCAACGUAUUCUGUGCAUGCAGUACGACGGUUGUAGUUUGAACCAGUUCUGGAAGCUUCCACACAGGUGGGUGUGUCUAAUCCCUUGCAGAUGAAAGAAGCUAUUGACUUUUAAAAUAAGGGUCCUCUGUAGAUGCUCGAUGUAACUGCAUACAUGUACGUCCAGCAGAACACCAAGUUUGAACGUGGCGAGGGUACGAAGACGAGGAGAGUGCUAACUAUUCAUGAGGUAAUUUUGUAUUGUAAAAUAUAUUAUUCAAAUCUUCAAUUUCAUUGAAUGA